GGCCAACAUGGCCGGCCAGACCGAUAGCCAAGCCUACCAAUACGUCUCCAAAAUUGUCGAGAAGUUCAACAACGAGCGGAGUUCGUCAGCAGCAUCGCCAAGCCAAUAGAGUACCAUAACCCAACCCUGGUAUCAGUGCAUUAUUUAUGUUCGGCUGCCUAGUGUGAAUGUUUCCAGCCUCCGCAAUGCGCGAUGUAAAACAGGCCCGCUCCAUUAAAUCCUGAAGCGAUGAGGUUGUCGAGAAAUUAGGCCAAAGCGGGUACGAGACAGCUUUUAAUUUAAAAUUUCGUUGACUGUUUGCGUGGUGUGAAUGCUGCGCGCGGCGUCGUGGCGCGCAAGAGUCGGCGGUCGGCCGAGGUGUCGUUUGUAUUAUUUUAUAAGGGUGUUCGUGGGUGGCGCUGUGCGGUGGUGUUGCCGCGGGGCACCAGCCGGACCGCGCGCCCCUCCCCUCCCCCUGCCGUGGCGGCAUUUAGUAUACAGAGCAGCCGCCCCCGCCCGAUCCUCCGGCGGGGACGCGUGCUCAGGAGGCCUAGGUCCGCCCGGCAGGUCACAGUUUUGUACUCGGCACACUCAGCUCAAGCAAAUUGAACGUGUCUGAGAGCGAAGUCGUGCGUGAGCUGGCGCGGAGAGAAUACACUCCCGGAGGUGAC